CACAACGUGUGAGGCGGACGUUAUUACUGUGUGACACCGACACACAUUUUAGUAUAUAUUCGUACAUAGGUGCAUCAACACUGAAAUCAUAAUGUCACAACUUAUCCCUAGACACCACUACAGGAAACUGUGUAAGAGGAGGUGUUGUAUUGAAGGGGAACGUCACAUGCAGUACCUGACUCUGGCUGUGGUGGUUAUGCUGAUUGUGGGUCUCUACGCCUCGCUCGUCCUCUAUUUCACUUCCACCCGCUAGACCAACCGUCUCCUUGCAGUGAUCAGCCUUGAUGGUCCAUCUACCAGUGAUCAGCCUUGAUGGUCAAUCUACCUGUGAUCAGCCUUCAUGAUCCAUCUACCAGUGAUCAGCCUUGAUGGUCAAUCUACCUGUGAUCAGCCUUCAUGAUCCAUCUACCAGUGAUCAGCUUAAUGUUCCAUCUACCAGUGAUCAGUCAUGAUAGUCUGUGUACCAGUGAUCAGCCUUGAUGGUCCAUCUACCAGUGAUCAGCCUUAAUGUAUCUACCAGUGACCAGCCUUGAUGGUCUGUGUACCAGUGAUCAGCCUUGAUGGUUCUUCUUCCAGUGAUCAGCCUUGAUGGUCUGUGUACCAGUGAUCAGCCUUAAUGUAUCUACCAGUGACCAGCCUUGAUGG